GACGAACGCUGGCGGCGUGCUUAACACAUGCAAGUCGUACGACAGCAUUUCCUUUUAGGUUGUGUUUGGAGUGGCGAACGGGUGAGUAACACGUGAGUGACCUGCCCUUCACUUUGGGAUAACGUGCGGAAACGUGCGCUAAUACCAAAUAUUCGCAUUUCUGCUGCAUGGUGGGGUGUGGAAAGGGGGCCUUCGGGUUCGUGGUGGGGGAGUGGGCUCGCGGCCUAUCAGCNGUGUUGGUGGGGUGAUGGCUACCAAGCGUGGACGGGUAGCCGGCCUGAGAGGGUGUUCGGUCACACUGGGACUGAGAUACGGCCCAGACUCC
rnacentral:rRNA from 1 species